CGCAAUUCAUUUCCUUUCCUCUGCUGCAAUGGACGGCUAGACUGCAGCAAAGGAACAACCGAAGCUUCAUCAUUUCCUUUCUUCCAAAACUCAACCAAAUUCCUACCAAAACUUCCAUAGAUUCUCAUCAAACUUCACAUUCAUUUAGCUUUUCACUUGGAGAACAACAUAGGCUGAAAAAGGGAGGAGCUUUCACGGUUUCUUCAAGCUUCAAAGGACCGAAAAAUCUGUCCAAACCAGCCAUCAAAGUAGGUUGAAUUCGGAGGUAAAAUGGAGCAGCCUCUUGAUGUACUUUUGUUUUAGAGUUGCUAAUACUUUUGUUUAUGCCUUCGGCUUUGGAUUGUACUUUUGGUAUGGAAAUGUAACCUUUGGACGAAUUGUAUUUUUUGUGUACUGACGUGUGGUUUGGAGAAUGGUUGACUAUUAUUAAGUUUGAACGUUUCCUCA